rnacentral:rRNA from 1 species
GACGAACGCUGGCGGCGUGCCUAAUACAUGCAAGUAGAACGCUGAAGAGAGGAGCUUGCUCUUCUUGGAUGAGUUGCGAACGGGUGAGUAACGCGUAGGUAACCUGCCUUGUAGCGGGGGAUAACUAUUGGAAACGAUAGCUAAUACCGCAUAACAAUGGAUGACACAUGUCAUUUAUUUGAAAGGGGCAAUUGCUCCACUACAAGAUGGACCUGCGUUGUAUUAGCUAGUAGGUGAGGUAAUGGCUCACCUAGGCGACGAUACAUAGCCGACCUGAGAGGGUGAUCGGCCACACUGGGACUGAGACACGGCCCAGACUCCUACGGGAGGCAGCAGUAGGGAAUCUUCGGCAAUGGGGGCAACCCUGACCGAGCAACGCCGCGUGAGUGAAGAAGGUUUUCGGAUCGUAAAGCUCUGUUGUAAGUCAAGAACGGGUGUGAGAGUGGAAAGUUCACACUGUGACGGUAGCUUACCAGAAAGGGACGGCUAACUACGUGGCAGCAGCCGCGGUAAUACGUAGGUCCCGAGCGUUGUCCGGAUUUAUGGGGCGUAAAGCGAGCGCAGGCGGUUUGAUAGUCUGAAGUUAAAGGCUGUGGCUCAACCAUAGUUCGCUUUGGAAACUGUCAAACUUGAGUGCAGAAGGGGAGAGUGGAAUUCCAUGUGUAGCGGUGGAAUGCGUAGAUAUAUGGAGGAACACCGGUGGCGAAAGCGGCUCUCUGGUCUGUAACUGACGCUGAGGCUCGAAAGCGUGGGGAGCGAACAGGAUUAGAUACCCUGGUAGUCCACGCCGUAAACGAUGAGUGCUAGGUGUUGGAUCCUUUCCGGGAUUCAGUGCCGCAGCUAACGCAUUAAGCACUCCGCCUGGGGAGUACGACCGCAAGGUUGAAACUCAAAGGAAUUGACGGGGGCCCGCACAAGCGGUGGAGCAUGUGGUUUAAUUCGAAGCAACGCGAAGAACCUUACCAGGUCUUGACAUCCCGAUGCUAUUUCUAGAGAUAGAAAGUUACUUCGGUACAUCGGUGACAGGUGGUGCAUGGUUGUCGUCAGCUCGUGUCGUGAGAUGUUGGGUUAAGUCCCGCAACGAGCGCAACCCCUAUUGUUAGUUGCCAUCAUUCAGUUGGGCACUCUAGCGAGACUGCCGGUAAUAAACCGGAGGAAGGUGGGGAUGACGUCAAAUCAUCAUGCCCCUUAUGACCUGGGCUACACACGUGCUACAAUGGUUGGUACAACGAGUUGCGAGUCGGUGACGGCGAGCUAAUCUCUUAAAGCCAAUCUCAGUUCGGAUUGUAGGCUGCAACUCGCCUACAUGAAGUCGGAAUCGCUAGUAAUCGCGGAUCAGCACGCCGCGGUGAAUACGUUCCCGGGCCU